rnacentral:sRNA from 1 species
GCUGAAACGGGCAUUUUUAUUUUAUAAAAAAAAACAAUGACAAAGAGUAUUAUUUUGAACCCGUUUUGAACCCCCGCACACUCGGUGGGCUUUGAAUUUAUUUAGUACAAGAAAUAAAAUCAUAUAUCAAAUAGCAUUUCUUUUAUUAUAUUCAGCAUUUUCAAAAGAAGAGCACCCUCUUUCUUUUCUUCAUGUGUAUCGUGUCGUAAUUGCUAAAUCCAGAGCAGAGACACGAAGCUCAACGAAGAACCGAAAGAAUCCCCGCUCCACGAACCACGAACCGAAAGCCAUAAUCGCCUGCCCCCCGCCCCUGGGCUCGCGCUCUCUUCGAUCCGCCGGCAAUCUCGAGUUUCUCACUCUUUGGUGUUUACGUUUCCCUUCUGGGGCUCCGUUUCGUUAAUUUGUGUUAAUUUUUUAUGAGCUCUACUGGUGGUCGAUCUUGUCAGAAACGUUUUCAUGUUUGUAUGCAUAACUUGCGUACGUUGGAACCCAGGAACAGGACCCUACCUUUCGGAUUGUACAGCUCCCAGAGCAUCUUAAGACCUGAAGGAUGCAGUCUUUGAAGAUCCACAAUCCCGGAUUGACGUCUCAGAGACAAAUGGGACCAUUAAAAACUGAGAGAAUUGAAUAUACAUACAUACAUAUGUAUAUGUAUAUUGAAUACUCAGAAGCAAAUUUAUUGAUCAAACGAGAUAUGGAGAAUUCUUAACAAGCUCAAACAUCAUCAAUAACCCGAGCAAUUAAAUUUAAUAUCAUUUAAGUGGGGGGCGGAAAAGUCCGAUAUUGAUUUAAAUAAA